rnacentral:tRNA from 1 species
UGUUCUGUGGCUUAGUUAGUUAAAACGCCGGUCUAGCGAAUACGGAGUCGUGGGUUCGAAUCCCACCAGAACGC